AAAUCAAAGACUGGAUGUGUCAAAAUUUCCUACAACUAAAUGAAGACAAAACUGAGAUCAUUGUAUUUGGUGCUAAAAAAGAAAGGUUUAAAGUAACCCAACACCUUCACUCUCUGUCCCUGAAAACAUCAAAUAAAGCCAGAAAUCUGGGGGUUAUUAUGGAUUCAGAUUUACACUUGGAGAGUCACAUCAAAUCAGUAACAAAAUCGGCCUACUACCACCUCAAAAAUGUAGCAAGACUUAGAGGGCUCAUGUCAGCUCAAGACUUGUACAUGCCUUUAUAACUAGUAGGCUAGACUAUUGUAAUGGUCUCCUUGCAGGUCUUCCAAAAAAACUGUCAGGCACCUCCAGCUUGUUCAGAACGCUGCUGCUAGAGUUCUAACAAAGACCAAAAAAUAUGAGCACAUUACACCAAUUCUUAAAUCCUUACAUUGGCUCCCAGUAUGUCAGAGAAUUAAUUUCAAAAUCCUACUGCUCACAUAUAAAUCACUACAUGGUUUAGGGCCAAAGUAUAUCACUGAUAUGCUUCCACUACAUAAGCCUUCAAGAUCACUAAGAUCUUGUUUGUUGCGUAGUAACUAAAUGAUGCUUUCCCAUGAUUUGUAUUUACUCUGGGAAUCACUAACAGAUUGGUGUCAGAAGCGUCAGAGCGUGUCCUCAAAAGAAACCUGCUGAGCAGGAUGGCGCCAAGGAAAACCCAAGCCAGCAGCAGGACAGAGGAGACAAGCAAGGCGGCCAGGAGCGACAACAGGGGGAGGCAGGUAGCGUGCAACAGGUGAGCAGAGAGGAGACAAGCGGGGUGCAGGAGGUGGAAAAAGAGGGGAAAAGGGUGGACCAGCAAGUCGAAAAGGAGGGGACAGAGAUGGGUCAGCAGGCGGAAGAGGAGGGGACAGAGGUGGUCCAGCAGAUGGAAAAGGAGGGGACAGAGGUGGUCCAGCAGGUUGGAAAAGAGGAAACUGAAUCGGUCCAGCAGGUAGAAGAAGAGGGGACAGUGGGGGCUCAGGUGAGUGCACAAGGGCAGGGCAACAGCCAAGUGUGCACUGGAAGACAGGUGGAGACGGGAAGGAGACAGAAAAUAGUAAAGGAAAAAGGAAAAGAUGAGAGUGAAAAACUGGUGAAAGAAACUAGGUUCAAGGGGAGUGAGGUGGACAUGGAGGCAGAUGAGGAGGUGAUUAAAAUUCCUCAGCUGAAGAGAAAGACAAGGAGUAGGGAAGGCUCACAGGCCAAAAAAGUGACCCAGGUUGAAAUCUGGCAAUAUAUUACAUUGGUUUUGCCGUCCCCUGGCCCUUUAAGAUGUGAUCUCACGCAACCCCAGCCACGUGACUGUGCUUGGCCAAUAGCGCAGUAGAGCACGAGUUUAAACUAGGCUGCAGUGUCUUCCUCAUUCAGAGGUGUGGGGAAGCUGAUCGGCAGCUGUGGACAGAAUACCUUAGUGUCUGGAGACGAAUGAUGGCGAGCUGGAUUACCAUUGCUGGGAGCCUACCAUCCGUGUAGCAUCCACUGAAUAGCCAUCCUACUGGUCUGGUAGGAAGGUUGUCCACAGCCUGCCCCCGCACACUCCUCCAUAGACUAGUGCUUCAAUCCCACAUACAGAUCCUUUCACUUGAUAAACAAUAACCUACGGACUACUCAAUACAAACAUUCCAUGGUCUUGUAUACCAUCCAUUGCAGGGGCGGUUCUUUUUCCCUUUUGUUUUUGUGUGGUAUUUCCGGUAAUUUGUAUUAGUAUAGCGUGAACAACCACUACAAAGUGUGCUUAAAUAUAACCGGUUCAACUGCAGUCUGUAAAUAUUUUGAUUCUUUUCUUUUUUCUUCUUUCAUUAUUUCUAUUUGUAAAUAUUUUGUUUAAUUAUUUUGCAAUACAUGGUACCUGCACCAAAUUUAAACUUAUGUUUCUGUGUUGUUACUGACCACCAGCUCCUGUAGCCGAAUUUUGACUUCAGAGCAGCGUUAUCCACGCUAUACGCUCUAAUUCAGGGCGGGAGCUCAGAGACACAAACAAGAUCCGGAGGAGAGCGGCAAGUUUUUACUCUGAACUUUACUCUGACGAAUAUGAGGACAAUAUCGAACUGUUUGAGUAUUUCUGUGGAGAGCUACCAAAGGUCCCGGAAGAGGUGAAUGCCGGGGUGGAGGGUCUUCUGAUGGCAGAUGAACUGUACGCUGCUCUGCGGGGCAGGGAGGGCGGGAAGGCCCUAGGAAUAGAUUGGAUCCCGGUGGAGUUGUAUAAAGAGUUCUGGAGCGAGAUGGGGAAGGAUCUUUUAACCGCGUUGAAAGAGAGUUUUAAAGACAUAAUGCUACCGCUCAGUUGCAGAAGGGCAGUAAUAACUCUGCUACCGAAAAAAGGAAACCUGCAGAAAAUGAAGAACUGGCGUUCAGUGUCACUUCUCUGCUCGGAUUACAAAAUACUGUCCAAGGCACUGGCCAACCGGCUGAGAGAGGUGAUGACCUAGGUCAUCCACAAAGACCAAACCUACUGUGUGCCUGGUAGGAGUAUACUGGACAAAGUGUCAUUAAUUAAUUAAUUCGUGAGAUUUUGAAUAUCUCUGGUUCUUUGGGCAUUAGAACUGGUGUCAGUUCGUUAGACCAGGAAAAGGCUUUUGACCGGGUUGAGACCCUUGGAGGUCAAGUUUUAAAGGGUUUUAAUAAAGGUUUUAUUUUAUUAGCUUAUGCUGACGACAUUGUCAUCUUUGUUAGAAACCAGAAAGAGGUCAGUGCACUGACCACAGUUGUUAAAAACUUUGGCACCUUGUCAGGCGCAAAGGUUAAUUGGGUGAAGAGCGAGGCACUGUCAGUAGGGAACUGGAGGGAGGGUCUGCCCAGCCUACCGGGGGGGCUGACCUGGAAAAAAGACAGGUUUAAAUACCUUGGCGUGUAUGUAGGGAAUGAAUGUAUUGUUAAGAAGAACUGGGAGGGGGGUUGUGGAGAAAAAGGGAAGACUGGCUAAGUGUAAGUGGCUGAAGUCACAGAUGUCAUAUAGAGGCAGGACUCUGGUGAUAAACAAUCCGGUGGCAUCGGCUCUGUGGCAUAAACUGGCCUGCAUGCACCCCCCUAAAGGCCUCACACAGAAGCUACAGGCCAUCCUCACAGAUUUUUUUCUGGGACAGGCUGCACUGGAUCCCACAGAGCGUACUCUUUUUACCCAAAGAGGAAGGGGGGCAAGGGCUCGUGCAUAUCGAGAGCAGAGUGACCACCUUCAGGAUCCAGUUUUUACAAAGGUAUCUCACAGGCCAGACAGAUGUGGUAUGGAUAGGGGUGACAGACUGUAUUUUAAGGAAUGCAGCUGGUCUGGGACUGGAUACCGCACUUUUUCUAAUGGAUUUUAACCUUUGUAAAUUGGGUGGAUUAUCGCCGUUUUAUCAGUCACUUCUUAAAGCAUGGAACUGUUUUAAAUGGGAGAGACCAGAACCCACGUCCUCGCUACACUGGCUGCUUCAGGAACCGCUUGUGUUCGGAGCCAGGCUAGAUAUCCAGGACGGCACGAUACCAGGACUGACCAGCAUGCUGUGCUCCUCUGGAACCACCGCCCUGGGGGGACUGGUGGAUGUAGUUGGUCCUGAACUGGCAGACGCAUCGGCAGUGGCGUCACGACUCAGGCUAAAAUCUAUCCGGCAGAGCACAAGGAUCUUAAGCGGGUGGGCAGAGAGGCUGACGGAAGACGAGAUGGAGAUGCUGCAGCAGUACGGAAGAGGAGAGGAGGCUCCAGAUGCUACAGAUCCCUUUCCGCAUCUAGGAUGUAUUCCGAACCUGGAUGGGGCCUUAGGACCACUACUCCAAGAAGCAGAUCGCAAACCCUUGGACUUCCAUAUGGUGAAGGGUAAAAUAAUCUACAAAAAAUGUGUAAAAGUGCUCAAAAAGAACAAACUGGACCAGAGAGCUGACACUGUGUGGAGGCAAAAACUAAACUUAGACAUUGGUGCGAAACCAGUGUGGAGGGUUUUAUACAAACCUCCCAUAAAAAAGAGAAUCGGAGAUCUUCAGUGGAGGAUUCUACACGGUGCCAUUGCUGUUAAUGCUUUUAUUUCUGUGAUUAAGCCUACAGUCUCUAAACGUUGUCUGUUCUGUGAGGAGGAGGAGACUGUGUUCCACUGUUUUUAUUAUUGUGAGAGGCUCUGUCGCCUCUUUAACACACUGCAGGAUGUAUUUAAAGGGUUUGGUGAGACCUGGUCCAGGGCAGCUUUCAUUUUAGGAGUCGGCUACAAGAAAGCGAACGCCUUCAAAUGGAAGCCGAUUGCCAGUUUUGCCUCUCCGACCAAGUGGUUAAUCUACACAAGUAGGAAAAAAAAAGUAGAAGAAAGAGUAGGGCAGGAAGCCCUCAAUAUUUUCAUUGCACUAAUCAGAGCUAGAAUCUGGGUUGAUUUUAGGUUUUUCAAUAGCAUGGAUAAAAGAUUUUAAUGAAAAAUAGUGCUACGAUGAAAUAUUAUGUUGUGUGCUAGUAAGAACUAGUUUUUAAACCUCCUUUCAAUACAAUGUGAGAAGCUACUGGUUUGUACGGCUAUGUUUUUUUUUGUUUUUUUUGAUCGUUCAUAUUGUUUUUAAGUAAAAUAAAGGUUUUCUAAAAUCAAAAUCUCUCUCUCUCUCUCUCUCUCUCUCUCCAGCAUGCUCUCUGGAUGUUCCUGGCAUGCACAAGCAGAGGCGUCAUUUUGGAUUUACUUAUGGGGCAUGAUUGUGUAUGUGAGAGCACACAUAGGCAAAUUUGUACAAUGCUUGGGCGUUUGAGCCAUUUAGGAAACCUGAAGUACAUUGUGUUAUUUUUUUUUCUGCCUAGUUUAAGCUUCUGGCUUAAACAUUUGUAUGAGAACAGUGGGACAUAUGUUAGGCUCCGACACAAGAAAGCACAUAUUCAAUAAUGUGUAGAACUGAGCUGCAUCCCCAUCCUAAGCAUUAUAUAUUAUAUUUUACUAAGCGAGUGUGUAGUCCUCUACACGGUUUUAUAUACAGCAUACAGGAUUUAUAUAUGUAUUUCUCAGUCUUAACUCCUGAAUUCUCAUCAAUAUUAAGCACAAUAUAUAUCAAACAUUUAUAUUUUGUACACUAAAAAAUAUGAUCAAAACUAUCCAUUACAUUAUUAAUGUGAGAAAGUUCUAACUGGUUGUGAUAAGUUGUAUUACAAGCCAAAGCACAUCUGGUUAAUGCUCUCUUUAGGAGCAUAGGGACAACAAAGUAUAUGUGAAGCAAAUAUUACAUGUAUUCAAACGAAGUAUUCUCAUACAACCUUGUGUGUGAUAUCUCAUGCAAAGAUAGUUCCUCAGAAACUCCGGCAGCAACAACGGUUACAGCUUGUUAAUUUCAUUUUCCCUCUCUAACAUCGUUGUUUUGGUUUAGCAUUAGUACUACUAUUAUAUAGUACAGGGGUCUUCAAUGUUUUUCAGGCUAAGAUCCCCCAAACUGAUGGCGAGAUGGAGCAGGGACCCCCUAUUCUACGGAGUUUGGUCCGCCAUCUUUUAUUUUUGAGCAUCAUGCUCUUUAGAUGUGAGAAUAAACGCUGAUUGGCUGGUGCCUGUGCUGUCGUAUUUGCAUGAAAGGUGCUGUGAAUGAAACGGUGCCCAGCUGAAUGUGUGCAUUGCGGACUGAAAGAUAAAAUCUUCUUCAUCAAUUUAUGCGUUCGCUACAAUAAGUUGGAUUCAUGUAAAUGUGUAUUUAAAGACAAAAAAAAAAAAAAUUGGUUGGGAAAAAAAUGUCUUAUGAUGUUGAAUACCUCUGAUAUAGUAUAGACAUGUAUUUGUAUUCUGUGCACUUUCUCAAAUUCAAACUGCACUAUCUUUUUACUAAAUAAAUUCGAGUUGAAAUCAUCCCUCAAUUUGGGUCGUGGCUUGUCAAUGAGCGAGAUUGUGGGUCCCGCUGCCAGAGCAGUUAAGUAUAUUCUGCUCAACAGAAAGGAAGCAUUGAUAUUUUCUCAUGUCGAUCUUUAGUCAUGUGACCAACUUACAUUAGGGGCGUACAUAGUCAUUUAAAAAUGUCAACUGUAUUUUUUUAACUUUUGUUAUUUUGCUACUUUAAUAACUUAUUUUUAAUGCCAAAAUACGUGUUUAGAGUGUAUAUCAACCCGCUAUGAUGACACGUGCAAAACUGGCGCCUGAGGGAUGAUAAGGGGGUCACAUGUUGGGCUUCAUGAUGCUGACCAAGCUACGUUUUCUUGACACAUUGAUGUGAGAAUGUGAGGCUCCUUCGCAGAACCAUCUGUCGAAUGCUCACUUGACUCUUCUUCUAUUUGCACAUUUCUCUGUAAAAACAAUUCUGCUCAUCUGUUUUUUUUAGCUGCAGGUGUAACACCAAGUAAUUUCCUCAUCUCAGCCUCUUUUAAUGUUUGUCAGUUCAAACAAUAUGGUCUCCUGCCCAUUGCUUUCUGGAGGGACCCCAGACUGCCAAUGUGACUGGCUCAGCCCCAAAGUCACUGAAGGGCAGUUGGCCAAUAACUGACCUUUGAUAGUUAAAACAGAUCCAACCACAUUCUACUUACUACUUACUCUUGUGGUUGAUAAAGAACACAUGUUUCAAGUUGUGGAAACACUGUACCAUUAUGGAACAGUUUCAGUUCAGAAUAGAGGUCACAAGGUUCAUGAGAAGAGGUUAGUGUCAGAGAGAACUCAGUGUGUAUGGGAUCAAUCAAUUUCCCCCCAACGCCCCUUAGAUUGCAUGGCCGCAUAGCCACGGUCCAACAUGAGUACUAGCUCCCUCCGCUUUACUGGUCGCACAAACACACAGAAGAAUGCACACAUUCUUGGCUCGCUCCUUAAGAUUAUUUAACACUUCCACAAGUGGGCUAGACUUGGCACAGUUGAAGAGAGAAGGCCGAAUGAGGAGCUAGAGCCAGAGUCACCCCCAAGAAUAUCUGGUGUACAGCUAACUGAUUAGCCACACAAACAGUGCUAAUGACCUUGACGAUUAAGAAGUAAUCAGUGGGUACCCAACCAGUAAAACCCCUUAAUAUUUAUGAGCCUGCAGAAGAUAGGGUCUGAUGGACUUUGACCAGAUAUAUUCCACACAAGCAGCCAUUUUAUUGUCACCACUUCAUUCUAAACCUUAUGUCACCAUACUUAUGAUUGUCACUUUCAUAUGGUAAAUCUGGGGACAUUUGAAGGUGCAUGUCAUCGAGGUGUAACAGGAUUUGCAACAAAGGGCACCAUAUUGUGCUUGUAUUGCCCACUUUCCCAGAGAAAACCUUUUGUUAUUGAAAAGGAAGAACAACCAAUGUUACCAUAGCGACCAAUGACUCUUGUCAAUAUCAACAGACAUCUCUCACAUCUCUCUCUGUGUCAGUGAACCCGCUUGUUUUUACAGUUAACAUAACUUCACUCUUUUCAUCAAGUGUCUUAAAUCUUCAUAAUGGAGUCUUUCUUUCAAACAUCACAUACUUUCAAUGCAGCUCCAUUGGUUAGUUUAAAAAUCAGAAUGUUUGCAAAUCAGAGGUCCAGAGCAGAUCCAGUCGAGAGGGUGGUAACAACACAGCUCUGGCCGUUUGGCUACAACAAUAACAUUUUAAUUACCAUUAGUUAGGUGACAACAAUCCAUAAACCUACACAAACACAUGUAUCAUAUUGAUGAAUAGGUGAUUCACAAAAUAUAUUUAGUGGUGGUGGUGUGAAAGAAUAACGUUUAGUUCAACAAGUUAAGCUUAUAAAGAUGGUCAUUAAUGUCAGUUAAAUGCUGCAAUGUCAGAAUUUAUGCAGCAGGCCUUUUUCCAUAUCCCCUUUAUCAGAUCAACUGACUGGCGUUUAUUGCUGUUUCCUGUUUCCUUUCAGCUUUUUCUCAUGCAAAACUUACACACAUAGGUAUGUAAAUUUGAGGAAUCAGUUGUAAAAUCUUUCCAGCUUCCCUUUUACUCCUUAGUAUUGCUAUGGAGCUGUUCUUUCAAAGAUGGUUUUGGUUCGUUUUUUUUCAUGUACAAGCGGUUAGUCCUGCCACUGAUAACAUGAGACAUUCAACUAACCUAGAAGUGGCCGUAAUACGUCACCUAAAAUGGUUGAGGUUUUAGCCACAUUAGGAAGUUUAGAACAGUCUUGCCUUGAAAAGUAUUUAGCAAAACUCCUCUUUGCCCAUCAAAUCACCCUUUGAUCACCCAACUUUUUAAAUAUUCACUUGCAGUAAUCUUAGAAUGUCUUUAAGUCCUUCCUUUUAUUCGCUGAAGACCUGGGACACCCCUUAAUAGCUCUUGAGAAGGAGAGGCUAAGGUGGCAGAGGCAGCAAAAUAAAUCCACACCAUAUUUUAUAGAGGGAACAUGAGAUGGUGAUAUUCUCACUCUGUUUUGAAUACCACAAAAAAGGUCGGACCACCCCAUUUUGAGUCCUGACCUGUCUCCUCUGCAGAUAUGUGGAGAGAGAGGAAGAGAAUAACACAGAGCAAGUCAAAGGAAUGGAGUGUAUGAGAAACGUACUGGACAGACAGAAAUUGAGAGUACCCAGUGGGAAAGAGCUGCACAGAGGCCACAGGCUGAGAAAGUGAUAAUAGACAGGGGGGCGGAGCAAUGAGAGAAGAAAUAUGGGUACUGGAAGUGUAGGAAGGGUCAGCAUAAUGUGUGCGACAUAAAGGGUUAAGUACGAACUGGCUGCUUCAGGGCAGAGAUGUUCUUUGCAAGACGUCACUGUUUCGCAUCAGCAGGUCAGGGACAAAGAGGGAAUGUGUCAAAUAUUAGUCAAUAGUCGGUCCCUUGAAUUUAUGUCACUCAGUUUAACUGGUAGACCUGACAGCAGGUUCAUUUGAGUGAACUGUCAGCUUUUUUUUUACUUUUGGGGAUUUUGACGUUACCAAAACUAACUAAAAUUUUAGACACUUUAGACAUUUGGCCUGCUUGAGGGGUAGCUUGAGGCACCAAACAGUAGAAAACCAAAAAUGCAGAUCGGUUUCAGGGCUUAACGUGUGUUAAUGUUCUACUUUAGUUUAACAAUGUUCUGUAGACAAUAAUGUGAGACAGAACUCAACAGAUCUGUUGACUCGGCCGAGCGGUCUUUCAUUAGACUCCAUAAGGCCUUUUUACACAAAGAUGCGCUUGCCUAGCUGUUGCUUGCCUAGCUACACAUUACCUUUGUAGAAAUAUGGCUAUUGCAGAUAAAGAUAGAAUCUUGCAACCAUAUUGUUUUGAACCACAGUCAGACCCUGAAAAAGAAGAGGCUCCCGAACAAGAAAAUAUAAAAGAGGACGUUUUUUUAAUCCUCAUUUAGCUGAUGUGGCUCCUUAGUUCCUCAACAUGUUUUGUUCACAAGGGCCACUAGCUUGCAGUCAAUCAAACGUCUCCAUUAACAUUAAGGAUAACAGACAUAUGCGCAGUUGGUCACUCAGUGAGCCUGUCAGUUUGUAAUCAGGCUCUUCCUGAUGCUGAUGGGAUCAAAGCAUCCAGAGUCCACUUUUAUCUUUGCCAUCAGCAGCCUCUUCCGUGGAUGUACUAUGGAUUUGCAGGUCCACCUAGUUCGGUAACAGUCCCUCCUUUUUUAUCACCUUCCUUUUCACUUUCAGUUUCUCUCUCUUUGUCCUUGUCAUCACACAGCCGGUAAGUGUUGUUUAUGAUUGUGUGUCUGUGUCCAGAUACAAGGUUAUUUCGAGAUGCCAGACUAGCGAUAGAUAAGGAUCCCAUACAAUCUAAUGGAGCUGAAGGGUCACACACACACACAGACACGUUCUCCAAACUACUUUAAUCCGUUUAGGGAGCAUGCUUUGUAUUUGAGGGACAGAGGAGUACAAUAGGAUAGGAUUUAGGGAAUUACCUUAUCGCAUUGUGUGAGUGCUAGCGUCCUUGUGUCUUAACAGUAACCUCGUCUAUGCUGUAACUCUCCCACCCUGCAGGCUUGACUUCAUCAAACCCCCAUACAUCAACAGAUCUUACUCUACUGUAUGAGUAGUUUUCACAGUGAUGCUUCAUGUCAGCGGUGUGUGUGCUGCUAUGGAUACCUCGACUACAAGAUGCACAAUACCUCUUAGGGAAAAAGAAUACUUUGGAGUUUUUUUCUCCUUUAAUAGAGAAUCUGGGAGUAAUAACCUGCAGCUUCUUCUGCUUCUUUCUAUUGCGGAUUGAUACUAAACAAUAGUGCUGAACACUAUGCAAUUUAUUUUGCCAUUGCAUCAGCGCACAGGUUGAUGGAGGUUUAAGUAGGUGUGAUCUCAGAGAUCAAGUCUUAAAAAGGGCUUUCAGAACGAACCAAUGUCAGUUAAUUCAGCAACCUUGGAGGGAAGGCCAAUUGAGAAGCUUGGGGCUUGGGCAUGGGAAUGAUUGAGGAUCUUGAGGAAUUUAUCAACAAAACAGGAUACAGGAUGGCAGAAGUGGUGAAAGAUGACUCAAAGAAGCAGGAAUAGCAACUGGAUCAAUUCAGUGGGUUAUUCGGUUUCCUUUAGCCAGUCAAAGCUUCUGCCUGCAUUGAAAGUUUGCCGAAAAAGCAGUUAUAAAAGACAGACAUUGGGUUAGUUGGAAAGCACUGUAAAAGCACAGCUUCCACCGCAAUGAUACAAACAUCCAGCUCCACAAAAAACUUACAAGAGGGGUCAAGUGGCGAUGUAAUUAGGGAAGAAAUUAGAGGGACACCUCACUUUAAAGUGCAAGGGUAUUUUGAUGAGUUUGCAAAUAAACAAUUCCAUUGUAGCAAAAGCAGAAUUUGUCAUUAAGAUUCUCAGGGCAGUCUUAACUACACCAGAAUAAUUUGAAGCAGCGAGGAGCUAUAAGGUCGAGGGAGGACAGCUGAAGCUUAAGAAAGGCUUAGAAACACUAGGUAGCUAUUAUGUGGUGCAAAGCUCUUAGAAAUGACAAUGAGACAAGAUGGUGCCAUGAUUCACUGAAACCAAUAUGUUAUUUGAUGAACAUUUUCAAUAACCUUUGACUAUGUGACUCAUCACUAGACAAAAUGACUUAUUAAGAUAUGUUGUUUCUGUACAGCGUGUACUGUCCUCUCACAUUUGUCUGC
ensembl:lncRNA